AUGCUUCUCCUAAAGCUUAAGCCAUGCAUGCUCUGACUAAGGAAUUGACAAUCUUCUCGAAUCUGCGAACGGCUCCGCAUACUGGUCAUAAUCAUUAGCAGCGUCUCUCGUUCUUUACGGUUACCAAUGUCAGCAAAAAGCUCUCACGUUUCUGGAGGCCGAGGUAAAUGGAUAUCCAUGGCAAUUCUGUGGCUAAUACAUGAAACUACCGACCGGUCCACCUAUAUUAGGGGGGGGCCUUUUUCCCAUCUUUUUUCCCUCUCGGGGGACCUAGAGAUGAGGGAAAGGUCCAACAAAACGAACCUAUUUGGUGGGCCGAGGAGUGUGAGGUUCAAACUGGCUUGGUAUAUCGGGACGGAACGCACAUCCUUUACCCUGCUCCGUGUCUCCCCCGCAAGGGGGGGAUCCGGGCGCACUGGGGGGGUACCUGCAUCUGCACAAUCUUGCGAACCCAUGGGUUUCUUUUUCCCCAUCUUCCUUCCCAGGAAGGAGGGGAUUAAGGUUCCUGAGGGAUCCUUGGGAGUCGGGUAUAGGCGCCUUCCUGGUGGGUCACUGUUCGAGUUUCCAACCUAUCAACUAGAAUGUGACGUAAUGGAUUGCUAUGGUUACGACGGGUACAGAGGAUUAGGGUUCGAUCCUGGAGAGUGGGCCUGAGAGAUUGCUCAUACUUCUAAGGAAGGCAGCAGGCGCGCAACGUUCCCACUGGGCUAUUGCCCGAGGGCGUUAGGGGAAAUAUGAAUGGUCACCCUAAAAAGUGGCCAAUUCAAAUG
rnacentral:rRNA from 1 species